AAACAUACCGUAUUUGAAAAAUAAUACUUAGACUCGCUGUUUUUUCUUUUUUUCCAGGUAUCAUUUGGGUUUUGUAUUUUUCAUAGUUUUCCAAUGAUGAAAUAAUUUCUUCUCCGUUGUAGACUUUUAGAAAAGUAAAAAAAGCAAAUCAACAAUUUAUUUUCAUAUUUUCUUAUGUAGCCGAAUCGUCUAAAUGUAAAGAAGGUAAUUAUAAAAAUUACUUAUACAUAUACAGUGUACAAUUUUUUAG